GCCGGCUUUGCUGGGCAAGAGCUCCGCCUAAGGGAGCAGGACUGAAGUCUUUCCCGAGGCAACGCAGCGGUGUUGUGCGAGGAGGGGAAAAGCCACUAGGGUUUGUCACGCUCCACGUGAGAAAAGAAAGGUCUUUCCGUGCUGUAGCAGGUGUUGCUGAGACGUGCUGAGCUCACUGUGAUGGGGACAACUGAUGUUCUCCCUGACACUGGAAGAUGGCUGACAUGGGUUUUACCUGCUCAUCUGAAAAUCUCUUUAUCUGGAUGUGUUGGCUGUCCUCCACUUUGGCUGAGCAGAACUGUUUCGUCACUGGGAAACCACUUGAGAAUUCAGGUUGAAUGGGACAAAAGGAAAAAACAAAAAUCCCAGAGAGCAAAUGACAGCUCCGUUUGAAAGAGACUUCAUGUAUGCAGAGAGGACCAGACUAGCAAAAACGAAAAUGCUGAAGCCCUGACAUUUCUGUGUAAAAUACAGAUGACUGUUUUUCAGGGAAGGCUUUAUAAAAAUCCAUAAUUUAUUUUAUUUUUACCUUUUUUUUUAACCUUUGAAGUAGGCUUUAAAAUCAUAAUCACUGCCUUCAUAUUUCUUUUUAAGAUCCUGUGUACACCUACAGUUACUAUUUAUGUAACAAGGAAAUAGCUUCAUCUUAGUCUGUUUUUAGGUUUGAAUAUAAGACCUUAGAAUGACCCCCACCCCCUGGAAUUUUCCCUCUGUAAAACGGUUGUGUCUGAAUGCAUGCAGCAGAAACAGGAUUUCAACAUGCCGGUAUGUUUCUGUGAACGUUUUCCUGGAAGCAGUGAGUCUGUUUGGCUGAAUCUGUGCACAUCUCACUAUACUCUAUCUUUAUACAUUUACUUAUUGAAUUAAUUGAAUUCAAACAAGCAUCGAAUAUGAGAUCCAUGUUUAGUAAAAGUGUAAUACUAUCCUCGUGCUUUGGAGUGCGGAUUCUGUUCUAUUACAUAAUGUUACAUUCAGGUUGGCUUUAAAAAGCAGAGGUCCCUUUUGAUAUGCUAUGCGUAUGCAGCAA
rnacentral:lncRNA from 1 species